rnacentral:lncRNA from 1 species
UAAGUUACAUGCACAUUUUUAAAGUUUCAAGCCGCAUCUUUAAAGUUUGCACAAACUGAAUUUCGAUCACUACCGGCAGAACUUUGCUGAUUUUAUCAAUUGGUUGCACUUAUGAGGAACUGGACAUACAUGAGUUGGUGUCGCAGGAUAGCCCGUGUGAGGAAUUUUACGUGGCCAACUCUGCCCGCGUCGUAAGCCCUCGGAUUACUACAUCCCUCUUCUUAUAGAGCAAUUUUCCGUUUUAAUAAUUUCCCACACAACAGAAAAAUGUCAUGGAGACAGAGUUCGCACAGAUCUUGGUGGUGCAACUCGAAUAGCUUAAAUCGACGCUUGUCUUCGAGGCAGCCUAUUUCUCUGCAUUAAACAUGUUCAUUAUUCCUCAAAGGCAUGUAAUUGUUAAUUGAUCCAACGUUAUUAUGCUCCUUGGCGCAGGAACAAGUCAAACUUCACACAGCCAUGGUAAUUAGCCUCUGACUUGACACAUCUAUUCUCUAAACUGCAAAUACGUCGAAGAGUUGAAACUUGCCCAUCGAGGCAUAAUCUCUACUCCUGUUAUCACGAGAUCAGUAAAAAAACAGCAUUCUAAACCCACAUCGCAUGAGUUUGCAACCGAAUAACGUUACCUAAUGUUUAGAGUUAUGGUUUGAGGGCCGCAGGAUUGUUGUGACUGCCACCAUGUUCAACUGGUCGACGUUUGCCUGGUAAUUAGCUAUUCUUCGGUAAACCUCGUUUGUGAGCUUAGCUUCGCCCUGUUCGAAAUUUUGCAAUGGGGUUAUUGGAGAAACUAGAAUUAUCCUGUCUCUACGUAGGUGUUGUGUAUGGUGAGAAAUCUUUUCCACUGAUUUGUGGGUUGAGCGUCGAAUUUCGCUUUGAUCAGGAACAUCUCUGAAGGGCCUUCAAUCGAUGUGCCUGGCGUUGAGAAACCAGUGCGCUGUGUGUAAGUUUCACUGCUUUGAGUUUGUGCAUAUAUAUAUAGUUCUUGAUAAUUUUAUCAUUUGCAGCAGUGUCAGUAAGUACGUACGUAUGUGUGUGUACAUAUAAAUGUACUCAAUAUAAUUUACCAAUGUUAAUCAUAGUGUAAGCGGAUAUGCAGAAACGUUUCAGUUCCAAAUCCUUUCCCCUGGACUUCUCCAGAUAUUUCUAAAUUGUGAGAUACAAUUCUCACCACAUUGUAUUUACUAGAGAGGUUCAUUGAGAUAGAGUUCAUUUUGAUUUGUAUGUUUUAUUGUAUCUGUUGAAAUUUGCCAUGUUUAGGAGCUGGCAUUUGGUGUUUGUAUAAUGGAGUUUAUUUAAACUAUUUUUAAGAUGUCGUUCAUGAUUUGUGUCAAAAUUACCCUUUAGACAUGGAUGAACAUAUAAAUUAAUAAAUAAAUAAAAAUUGCAUUUUAAUAUGUGAAUGUUGAUGAUGUAGGAACUUCACAUUUCCAGUGUUUCCGCCUUCACAGAGGAGUCCAUGGUUCAGUGUUAUAAACAGAACCACCUUCCCACCUCUUCCUUCUAUUCCUUGGAAUCCUUUUAAAUUUGGUCUAUCUCCUCUACCUCAAUUCCAACCACCUAAUUUUACAUUUCCUGAUCUUCCUCCCUUGCCCCAACUUCCUCCUUUAAAUUUCACAUUACCUCCUUUACCCCAACUCCAUCCUCUUAAUUACACAUUUCCACCUUUGCCCGAAGUGGUCCCUCCUAAUAUCACAGUACCACCUUUAUCUCCUCUUCCUUCCAUUCCACCUCUCAUAAAUGACCCCGUUUUUAACAUCUCAAAUAUUACUUCAUUCCCACCGUUACCAAGUGUUCCACAAUCUCCGCCACUUCCCCUACCAAAUAUCACCUUACCAACAUUUCCACCCCUUCCACCCCUCAAUUUCCCCUCUUCCAAUGUGUCUAGAUUUCCUCCCAUUUUUAACACUACUUUUCCAAAGUUUCCACCCUUGUCUCCAAUUCCAGGACUCCCAAGUGUGGGUGUUGGAGUGAAUGGUAGUGUGGGUGUUAACACCACCAUUCCAAGUGUUGGAAUUAAUGGAACUGUUUGUGCAAACGCAACCACUCCGCCAAUUGGGUCACCUCUUUCGGGUACCAUUAUCAAUUCUACAAUCCCUUCACUACCACCUAAUUUUACAUUUAGUAAUCCACCACUCCCUCACCUUAUGGCUCCUAAUUUCACCUUUGUGUUUCCACCUUUGCCUCACUUCACACCACCCAACUUUACUUUCCCACCUCUAAAUCCUAAUUUUACACAUUCCAACUUUACUCUUCCACCACUUCCCGAGUAUACUCCACCUAAUAUAACAUUGCCAUCAAUCCCACCUUUGCCUCAAUACACACAUCCUAAUUACACCUUGCCCACCGUGCCACCAAGUUAUGAGAUUUUGCCCCCAAAUUUCACAUUUCCUCCCUUGCCUCAAAUUGUUCUACCAAUUAAUCUCACUCUUCCUCCAAUUCCUCCCUUCAUACCACCAAAUGUGA